GGCAUUAGUGGCGACGGGUGAGUAACACGUGAGUAACCUGCCCUUGACUCUGGGAUAAGCGUUGGAAACGACGUCUAAUACCGGAUAUGAGCUGCGACGGCAUCGUCUGCAGUUGGAAAGAUUUUUUGGUCAAGGAUGGACUCGCGGCCUAUCAGGUAGUUGGUGAGGUAACGGCUCACCAAGCCGACGACGGGUAGCCGGCCUGAGAGGGUGACCGGCCACACUGGGACUGAGACACGGCCCAGACUCCUACGGGAGGCAGCAGUGGGGAAUAUUGCACAAUGGGCGAAAGCCUGAUGCAGCAACGCCGCGUGAGGGAUGACGGCCUUCGGGUUGUAAACCUCUUUUAGUAGGGAAGAAGGGAGCUUGCUCUUGACGGUACCUGCAGAAAAAGCACCGGCUAACUACGUGCCAGCAGCCGCGGUAAUACGUAGGGUGCAAGCGUUGUCCGGAAUUAUUGGGCGUAAAGAGCUCGUAGGCGGUUUGUCGCGUCUGCUGUGAAAUCUGGGGGCUCAACCCCCAGCCUGCAGUGGGUACGGGCAGACUAGAGUGCGGUAGGGGAGAUUGGAAUUCCUGGUGUAGCGGUGGAAUGCGCAGAUAUCAGGAGGAACACCGAUGGCGAAGGCAGAUCUCUGGGCCGUUACUGACGCUGAGGAGCGAAAGCAUGGGGAGCGAACAGGAUUAGAUACCCUGGUAGUCCAUGCCGUAAACGUUGGGAACUAGAUGUAGGGGCCAUUCCACGGGUUUCUGUGUCGCAGCUAACGCAUUAAGUUCCCCGCCUGGGGAGUACGCGCAGCUAAACUCAAGGAAUUGACGGGGGCCCGCACAAGCGGCGGAGCAUGGCGG
rnacentral:rRNA from 2 species